UGGGUGAUGGCUACUUUGGUGUCCAUUGUACUAUUGAUUGUAUAAGUUUGACAUUCUCCAUAAAAAGGAUAAGCAAGAAUACAUUCUCAGAAGAAAAAGACAAGUGAAAAAUCACCAAAGGUCCUGGGCAGGUGUUUUGAAGUGUCAACGAACAGAGUAGAUUGCAGGAUAGGGAGGUGGGGAACUGAGUGGGAAAACCUAACUUGAGGCCAGACUACAUUUAAAGCAAUUUGAGGACUUCCGAGUGGGAAAGUCCAAGUAGGGAAAUGGCGAUAUGAAGAUGGAGCUUGGGAGAGACGUUUGUAGCUCUGCACUUAGGAUAAUGAAAGCCACAAACAUAAAGAAGCGUUCAGGGGGCAGAGAUACCGUUGCACCACAGGGAAUGAACCAACUAGGAAAGGAAAAAAAAGAAAGCCUGUUGAGCUCAUAAAGGAGAUAAUUAGCCCAAGCUCCUACCUACAUUUUACUUUUGUUUUAGAAAACCAAUAAACACCUCUCAGAAAUGGAGCUCCAUUUCACUCUUGCCACCUA
rnacentral:lncRNA from 10 species